UACGGAGGGUGCGAGCGUUGUCCGGAAUCACUGGGCGUAAAGGGCGCGUAGGCGGUUGGGGAAGUCCGUGGUGAAAGCUCGUGGCCCAACUACGAGUCGGCCAUGGAUACUCCUUGACUUGAGCACUGUAGAGGCAGAUGGAAUUCCGGGUGUAGCGGUGGAAUGCGUAGAGAUCCGGAAGAACACCGGUGGCGAAGGCGGUCUGCUGGGCAGUAGCUGACGCUGAGGCGCGACAGCGUGGGGAGCAAACAGG
rnacentral:rRNA from 1 species